AACGCACCUUGCGCCCUUUGGCAUUCCGAGGGGCACACCCGUUUGAGUGUCAUGACAUCCUCAAAAACCUUCUUUGGUUUCUUGACCGGGAAGGCUUUUGGACUUUGGAGGCUAUUGCUGGCCUUCCUUUGUUGGAGCCAGCUCCUCUGAAAUAAAUUAGUGGGGUCUGCUUUGCCGAUCCUUGACGUGAUAAGAUGUUUUCUACGUCUUGGGUUUCGCACUGUUCCUGCUUCUAACUGUCUCAUAGAAGACAAUGGUGAAGUGAUUGCCACUUGACCCACAAACCUUGACCUCAAAUCGGGUGAGACUACCCGCUGAACUUAA
rnacentral:misc_RNA from 2 species